AUGGGGGAGACGGAUUUGGAGGACGUGGUGCUCUCCUGGUCGCUCCAGGAGAUCAACGACGACGACCUCUACAGGGGGAAGGUUGAGACUAUUCCCUGCAACUUCAAGUCACUUGAUCACUAUCUCGCAUCGUACCGUGUGCCUCUGAUUGAAGAAACAAGGUCAGAUCUGUGCUCAUGCCUUGAACUCAUCAGUCAAGCACCCUCGUCCAAAAUACUUUCCAUGGAGGUAGCAGGAAAGUCGGGAUCAUACUUCAUGGAUGUGGACUUUUGGGACAAUGAUGCUGGUUUCUCUACUGGGGCUUAUUCUGCCAGGAAUGGUGACAUCUUUAUUUUGUCUAGCAUAAAACCUGAAGCUGCAGAGGACUUAAACCGCCAUGGUGUCACAUAUUGCUUGGCAAUGGUUACUGAGGUUUCAAUGGAUGAUGAAUACCAGAAGGGCUUCAGAGUCAAAGUUGAAAAGAAUAUUGAUUUGGAAGAAGACUUGAACAAACUCAAACAUGCAAUAUUUCUCAAUAAUAUCACCACAAACAUACGUAUAUGGAAAGCACCUACCUUCGAUGCACACAUGAAUGGCAAUUUCACAAUAAUCAAGUCGCUCUUAGCCCCCACAAAUCUGGGUGAGGAUAUUUGCGGUAUGUGUGUUAAGCAGGAUGGGGGCUCUUUGGCUUCUUUCACAGAGCAAUUGCUGUCGGUUAUGCUUAAUCAAUCACAAGUGGAUGCUAUUGAAUCUGUCAUCUCAGCUGUACAAUGUGGGCAUGUGAACCUCAUGAAGCUUAUAUGGGGUCCACCAGGCACUGGAAAAACCAAGACGGUUAGCGCUUUACUGUGGGUCUUGGCGUGUUUGAAAUGCAGAACUCUUGCUUGUGCUCCCACAAAUGUUGCUGUUGUUGGAGUUUGCACUCGUUUCCUUCAAAACUUGAAGGAUUUCAAUCAGCACACUGACAACAUUGGUCUACCUACUUCUCUUGGAGAUAUCUUGUUAUUUGGAAGCAGGUCUAACAUGGACAUCACCAAGGAUCUUCAGGAGGUUUUCUUGGAUUUUCGUGUCGACGAACUUGUGGAAUGCUUUUCAUCGUUGUCUGGAUGGAACAGCAGAAUAGCUUCAAUGAUAUCCUUUUUUGAAGACUCUGCUUCACGGUAUGAUAUGCUUCUUGAGGAUGAUGGCAAAACUGAUCCAGUGUGCUUUCUUGACUUCAUAAAGAAGCAAUUUGACGCUACAGCAAUAGCUCUGAAAAGAUGCAUAAUGAAUUUGUGGGUUCACCUUCCUGGAAGGUGCUUUUCUUGUGAUAGCAUCAUAAAUAUAUCUACACUGCUUCAUAUGCUGGAAAAUUUUGGCGCCCUUCUGUGCGACGUAGACUUGACUGACGAGGGCUUGAAAAGGGGCCUUGGUUGUCUGUCAGCUGAAAACUCUGUUUGUACACAGCCUAUAUCUUCUAUUGAGAAGGAACUGGAUGGAGCAAGGUCUACAUGCCUCAAAUUGCUUAAAGAUCUGCUACACUCACUUAAUUUACCCACUGGAGUAGACAAAAGCUGGGUGCAGAACUACUGCAUAUGCAAUGCAACACUUCUUUUCUGUACUACCUCUAGCUCUUAUCAGUUGCAUCACAUGGAGAUUGCACCCCUCGAUGUAUUGAUUGUUGAUGAGGCUGCUCAAGUGCGGGAGUGUGAAUUGGUGAUCCCGCUACGUCUGCAUUGGUUAAAACAUGUUGUUUUGGUAGGAGAUAACUGUCAGCUGAGUGCAAUGGUUAAAAGCAAAGUAUGCAAAGAAGCUGGUUUUGCGACAAGUUUAUUUGGGAGAUUGGUUAUGCUCAAAUUUGACAAACAUUUGCUGAAUAUACAGUAUCGCAUGAAUCCUUGUACCAGCUUAUUUCCAAAUGCUCAGUUUUAUGAGAGGAAGAUUUUAGAUGGUUUCGACGUCCUGUCUCCUAGUUAUAAUAAGGAUUACACAUGCCUCCCUUUUGGAAGCUACACGUUUAUAAAUCUCACCGAUGGAAGGGAAGACAAAGAGGGCACGGGAAACAGUCGCAGAAACAUGGUUGAAGUUGCUGUUGUUUUGCACCUAAUCCAUACCAUCUUCAAAUUUUUCUCUGCAGCUUGGAAAAGGACAGACCAAGGGCUCAGCGUCGGCGUGGUCUCUCCAUAUAAUGCUCAAGUUGAUGCAAUUAAAAGCUGA
rnacentral:rRNA from 1 species